GGUGGGAUAUCUCAAUCGGUAGAGCAUGAGACUCUUGAUCUCAGGUUUGUGGGUUCGAGCCCACAGGGCAGGCAAAAGAUUCCUGGGCAAAAGAACCCACCA